rnacentral:rRNA from 1 species
AUUGAACGCUGGCGGCAUGCUUAAGACAUGCAAGUCGAACGGUAACGAUAGAAAGCUUGCUUUCUAGGCGACGAGUGGCGGACGGGUGAGUACAACUUAGGAAUCUGCCUUACAGCUGGGGAUAACGUGGUGAAAACCACGCUAAUACCGAAUACGCCCUACGGGGGAAAGCGGGGGAUCUUCGGACCUCGCACUGUUAGAUGAGCCUAAGCCGGAUUAGCUUGUUGGUAGGGUAAUGGCCUACCAAGGCGACGAUCCGUAGCUGGUCUGAGAGGACGAUCAGCCACACUGGGACUGAGACACGGCCCAGACUCCUACGGGAGGCAGCAGUCGGGAAUAUUGGACAAUGGGCGCAAGCCUGAUCCAGCAAUGCCGCGUGUGUGAAGAAGGCCUGCGGGUUGUAAAGCACUUUCAAAUGUGAAGAAAUGUUGGUUGUUAAUAGCAGCUAGCCUUGACGUUAACAUUAGAAGAAGCACCGGCUAAUUUAG